rnacentral:rRNA from 1 species
CAAGCCUGAUGCAGCCAUGCCGCGUGUAUGAAGAAGGCCUCGGGUUGUAAAGUAGUUUCAGCAGUGAGGAAGGUGGGGUAUGGUUAAUAGCAUACUCAUUUGACGUUAGCUGCAGAAGAAGCACCGGCUAACUCCGUGCCAGCAGCCGCGGUAAUACGGAGGGGUGCGAGCGUUAAUCGGAAUUACUGGGCGUAAAGCGCAUGCAGGUGGUUUGUUUAAGUCAGAUGUGAAAGCCCCGGGGCUCAACCUCGGAAUUGCAUUUGAAAACUGGCAAACUAGAGUACUGUAGAGGGGGGUAGAAUUUCAGGUGUAGCGGUGAAAAUGCGUAGAGAUCUGAAGGAAUACCGGUGGCGAAGGCGGCCCCCUGGACAGAUACUGACACUCAGAUGCGAAAGCGUGGGGAGCAAACAGGAUUAGAUACCCCUGGUAG